ACUUAUAGGACCUGUGAAGCAUCAAAUAAAAUUGGAAGGAUACAGAGAAGAUUAGCUCCGCCCUUGCACAAGUGUGAUAUGCACAAAUUGAGAAAUUAAUAUUGAAAUU
rfam:Populus trichocarpa scaffold_1_contig_457, whole genome shotgun sequence.